UUGCUGUGAUGACUAUCUUAGGACACCUUUGGAUUAACCAUGAAAAAAAACUUUGUUCUGAGCAAC